rnacentral:rRNA from 1 species
UACGUAGGGGGCAAGCGUUGUCCGGAAUCAUUGGGCGUAAAGAGCGUGUAGGCGGCCAGAAAAGUCCGCUGUGAAAACUCGAGGCUCAACUUCGAGCUGUCGGUGGAAACUUUCUGGCUAGAGUCCGGAAGAGGAGAAUGGAAUUCCUGGUGUAGCGGUGAAAUGCGCAGAUAUCAGGAAGAACACCCGUGGCGAAGGCGGUUCUCUGGGCCUUACCUGACGCUGAGGAGCGAAAGCUGGGGGAGCAAACAGG